GAUGAACGCUGGCGGCGUGCCUAAUACAUGCAAGUCGAGCGAACGGACGAUGAGCUUGCGUCGCUGAUGUUAGCGGCGGACGGGUGAGUAACACGUGUAUAACCUACCUGUAAGACUGGGAUAACUUCGGGAAACCGGAGCUAAUACCGGAUAAUAUUUUGAACCGCAUGGUUCAAUAGUGAAAUACGGUCUUGCUGUCACGUCUAGAUGGAUCCGCGCUGCAUUAGCUAGUUGGUAAGGUAACGGGUUACCAAGGCAACGAGGCAUAGCCGACCUGAGAGGGUGAUCGGCCACACGAGAACUGAAACGCGGUCCAGAGUCCUGAGGGAGGCAGCAGUCGGGAAUGUUCCGCAAUGGGCGAAAGCAUGACGGAGCAACGCCGCGUGAGUGAUGAAGGUCUUGGGAUCGUAAAACUCUCUUAUUAGGGAAGAACAUAUGUGUACGUAACUGUGCACAUCUUGACGGUACCUAAUCAGAAAGCCCCGGCUAACUACGUG
rnacentral:rRNA from 1 species